AGGUUGGUGGUGGUAUGUUGCAGUUGCAGCACUCUUAAUAACUAUUGUUGUUAUUGUUGUUGCUCUCAUCAGAUGGAAGAAAACUAAAGGAAAAAAACCCCAGAUGGAUGAAAACACUGGACGGAGCUUAAACCCUGCAGUGAGUCCAGAAAGCAGUCAGGACACGGUGAGAUCUCACACUACACCCAGGACAAAGUUACACUCACUGUUUUUAGAUUUGUUGUUCAAAAUGUAGCUCUA